rnacentral:rRNA from 1 species
GACGUAGGGCGCGAGCGUUUGUCCGGAUUUAUUGGGCGUAAAGAGCUCGUAGGCGGCUUGUCGCGUCGAAUGUGAAAACUCGGGGCUCAACUCCGAGCUUGCAUUCGAUACGGGCAGGCUAGAGUUCGGUAGGGGAGACUGGAAUUCCUGGUGUAGCGGUGAAAUGCGCAGAUAUCAGGAGGAACACCGGUGGCGAAGGCGGGUCUCUGGGCCGAUACUGACGCUGAGGAGCGAAAGCGUGGGGAGCAAACAGG